CCGAAAUCUCCAGUCGUGCUUUAUGUUGACCUGGAUGUAAAUAAAGCCCAAACCAUAGAGUUAACAAAUCCCGUUCAUUUCUUGUGUUCUCUACCUCUCUAACUCUACCGGCAAAGUCUCUUAGCGGGGAUACCAAGAAUUCGCAGCUUACAAAGAUGGCUUCUUGUUUCCGAUCCAAAUUGUCAACUGUGGGACGUUCGUAGUUGGGGAGUCUUGGCAACAACUCUGGUUUAUUCAGAACAUCAAAUGAGAUGAUGGAAAUGAUGACUUGCAAACAUGUUUUAACUCAGGAAAUCUUUCCACAAACAUAAACUUGUGAUCCUGUUGUACAUAUCCAACGUAUGUAAUUACAGGCACAUGUUUGGUUAAACUCUUACUUAUCCUAGUAAGUAAGAGCAAAAGGGUGGACUAGAUUAAUUGUACAAAAGGGUGAGCAAAAGGGAAUAUAUCAGCAAGUUAAGGUAACCAAUAUUGCGAGUAUUCUUUAAAACUGAUCGACACUCAGAAGAUGGAUGUCGGAAAUCUUUUCUAGAGUUAAAAUCGUGGUGGAAAGAACAAAAACAAACGGGCACAAACAUCUCUAAGGAGAAAGAGGCCGAGGUAUUUUUGGCCAAUAAACAUUUUUGGAAAAAUCGGCUCGAAAAGUUGUGCGGGGCACCCCCGGAGGACAUUUGCUAUUCGGACUCUCACCAUGGAUAAGGGGCAACCUAUUACUAAGGGGGAUCCCUGCAGGGCAUCUACUAUUCGCACCCCACUCUGGAUAGGGGGAGACCACUUUCUUCUCUAAAUUCAAAAGAAAAAAUUGGCGGGAAAAACCACUUUGCAUACCAGAGUUAGGGUUGGAUUUCUAGGCUGUUUUAGGGAGAAUCAAUCGCGGGAAUUUGUUGGGCUGGACGUGAUUUAGCAUAACAGGCUUGGUAUGAGCGCUGGAAUGGAUUGAAUUGGGCUAGCACUCGAGUUGGAGCAAAACAGAGGUGAAGUUACACACGGGUCUCUGCUGGCCUGAUUUUUGAAGUUUCAGGGAGAUUAAACCGGAGAUAAUAUUUCCGGAGAUAGCUACUUACCUUAUAGAGAGUUUGGGAUGAUUUGGAAAGCUCAGAAAUGCGUAAACAAGUCGGCAGAGAAGAUUAUUUCUGUGACUUGCACGAAAAGAAAGAGAGAAUUUUUAUCGGAAUUUUUAGGUUUCUGAGCAGUAUAAAAGGA